AAAUUGAAGAGUUUGAUCAUGGCUCAGAUUGAACGCUGGCGGCAGGCCUAACACAUGCAAGUCGAACGGUAACAGGAAACAGCUUGCUGCUUUGCUGACGAGUGGCGGACGGGUGAGUAAUGUCUGGGAAACUGCCUGAUGGAGGGGGAUAACUACUGGAAACGGUAGCUAAUACCGCAUAACGUCGCAAGACCAAAGAGGGGGACCUUCGGGCCUCUUGCCAUCGGAUGUGCCCAGAUGGGAUUAGCUAGUAGGUG
rnacentral:rRNA from 1 species